CUACAGGUCUCCAGGGAGGGGUGCAUCACCUACACUGGGCCAAGAAUCAGGAAGUCAUUACAUUUCCCAAUGGCACGGUUGUCAGAUGACAAGACCUAGUGAAGGCGCUGUGCAGCUGAGCUAAAUCCCCAGCCCUGAAGUUUGUUUCUUCAUCAAACAUUCAUGUUCCUAAUUGGCAGAGGACAACUAGGUAGGUGCUUUAUACAUAUUG
rnacentral:lncRNA from 1 species